AUGUAGCUCAGUGGUAGAGCACUCUCCUAGUGAAUGGGAGGCCCUGGGUUCCAUCCCCAGCAU
rnacentral:tRNA from 1 species